GAUGGAAUUUUUUUUUGGCAGGAAAAAUAAAGUUUUGCGUCAAAAAUUUGACAGGAAAAUUUCAGUUUCCAAUUACAUUUUCUUAUUAGAUGAGGGUAAUUUGGUCAUUCUGUUUAAGAGAAGGGGUAUUUUUAAAAAUAGACACCAUAAAAGGGUAUUGUUGUAAAAGGAUAGUAAAAAAAAAAGUAGUUUUGCAAAUUUCCUUAAAUUAAAU
rnacentral:sRNA from 1 species